UGUUGGCUGACAAUUUCUUAUCUACGCUGUGCUUACGAACCGCAUAGCAAAUCAUUACAGCAGUAUGUACAAUUUGGACCCCCUUGGCGUUAUUCCUUCUCGAUAAACUGAGCCGACAUGGAAAGCUUCAUUGAUACAAAUUAAUACAUCUUAAAUGCAUCCAAGCGGGAUAUGUGGUGACACAAAACACAGUCAGGCGUUUACUUCAUAUUCUACACCCCUAUAGAGAGCAACAGAGUUGCAGGAAUCGCCUUCGACGACGUCUUUACAGGAACCCAGGUCCGAAUUUUUUGUGACAUGUUGACUCCUACGAUAAAGUGAAGACAUAUGGCAUUUGUUUUAAUGGCGCAAUUGAUGGGUUCUCACGAAUGGUUAUUUGGCUCCAUUCCUAUUCUACCAAUAGCAAUCCAAAAGUUAUCGCUGGUUACUUCAUGGAUGAGGUUGGAUCCAGGAUGGGUGCUCCUCUAAUUCGAUCUGACCUGGGAACAGAAAACAAUUGUAUGGAGCAGAUACAGUUGUUUUUGAGACAUGACAAUGGGGACGAAUUCGCUAGAAAAUGCCAUAUACUGUAACUUAUAUGGGUCCAGGAACCACAUCCAGCUGAUAGAGAGCUGGUGGGGAUAUUUUAAGCAAACACCAUGUUCAGUACUGGAUGAACAGAUUUGAAGGACAUUUUUCUGGUGACUUUGUGGACAAUAAUGUAAUAUUAUUCACCUGUCUACAAAUAAUCGAGGAAGAAUUGCAGCAUGUUGUUCACCUCUGGAACACUCACAGAAUCCACCCCUGCAGAUACGUUGUAGCGCCGCAUGGCCGUCCACUGCUUAUGGACAGCCUUCCACAGCUGUAUGGGACCAGGGAUCACCUGAAAGGACUCUCUCAACAACAAAUACAGGCAUGUAGAGAGGAAGGCCUUCAGAGAGGUCCAUACCCUUGUCAUGAGACUGUUUUUUACAUUUCAUGCUUUGCAAUGGCAGAGAAUAAUCUGCCUCCACACACUACUCCCAACGAAGCUAUCAAACUGUAUGUGUUCUUACGGGCUUACAUGUUAGCUCAUCUGUAACACAGUCCAGCUAGCACCAGGACUUGGGCCGAACUCGGUUAUCCUGACACUGGCGCCCUGAAGGGGAGACAGCGAGCUGGCGGCCCUGCUGAUCGAGAGGGGUGCCAACCUGGAGGAGGUCAAUGAUGAGGGAUACACUCCACUCAUAGAGGCUGCACAAGAGGGCCAAGAGGACAUGGUGGUGCUGCUUUUGGCACAAGGAAUGGGCUCUCGCUCUCUGGGUUUGAAUUAAACUAGCUAGUGCUUCUGUUUAGAGAUUUUACCUACCAUAUUGACCGUCCAAGCUCAUUGUUGAGGCAAAAUACGAAACCCCUCUUUUGGAAACAAAAUUAUCAAGUGAUAUGAUUAUAUUAAGUUUUAAGCUCAUUAUCUUAUUGAGUGGAUGCAAAAAGGACAAGCUGGCUGUUCCAAAACAAAUUUAAAUCAUUUUUCAAUAGCCAACAGUAGAUUAGUACCCCUUUAGUAAGUGCAUUCCCUGCAAGGCCAUCUUCAAUCCUUCCUCUGUACACUCUUAGAAAAAAGGGUUCUAAAAUAGUUAUUCGGUUGUCCCCAUAGGAUAACCCUUUUUGGUUCCAAGUAGAACCCUUUUGGGUUCCAGGUAGAACCCUUUUGCAUUCAAUGUAAAACCCUGUGUGGAAAGGUUUCUACAUGGAACCCAAACGGGUUCUACUUAGAACCAAAAAGGUUAUUCAAAGGGUUCUCCUAUAAGGUCAACCGAAUAACCCUUUUAGGUUCUAGAUAGCACCUUUUUUUCUAAGAGUGUAGUCUCUGUUGUCUGCAGGUACCAACAUCAACGCUCAGACGGAGGAGACCCAGGAGACGGCCCUGCCGGGGCCAACAUUAAGCUGGGCUGCUCAACACUUCUCAUAGAGGGACACCUGGAGCUGGUCAAAUACCUGCUGGCUGCAAGAGCCAAUGUCCAUGCUGCCACUGCGAUGGGAGACACAGCGCUGAUGUACGCCUGAGAGAACGGACACACAGACGUGGCUGACGUGCUGCUGCAGACGGGGGCUGACCUGAAACAUGAAUCGGAGGGGGACAGAACCCCUCUAAUGAAAGUCAAGAAGGACCAAUGUUUAGUGAGGUCAUUUGCAGACUCCAAAUUUGUAUUUCCUCAAAAACAAGGUGGUCCCUGACAUUUGGAAGAUGGACAUGAGCGAGAUCUUAGAAUCGUCCACCAGCGACGAGGAGGACAAGGAAGUAAAGAAGAGUGAAGAGGAGAAGGAGGUGCUAAGGGUGGUCACACCAUCGGGGUGUCCUACCUCCUUGACUACCCCAACAACAUCCUUUCGGGCCCCGUGCCAAACCUACUGUAUCUCAGCUCUCAUCCCCCUCCCAUGACACCUCUCAGGCUCCACAACUUCCAUUCCAAGCCCUGGCCAUGGUAUUGCCUCCCCAAGCGCCAGACAGAGUACCCUCCAACAUCACAACACCUCCACCUUUCAUCACAAAAGCUCAGUCCAAUAGCGGUUCCAAGCAGAGGCUGAGCCCCUUCCAGGGUAAUACGUCACUGCAGACGGUCCAGACACAUACCUGCUGCCCCCCUUCUACCUGUACCAGCCCCUGGAGUGCAUUGUGGAAGAGACAGAGAGCAGGCUGAAUGAGCCAAAGGAUCUUAGACAUAGAGAAGGCAGAGCUGCAGAAGAAGAAGAUCCUCAAGGAGCAGUUCACCAAAGAGUACAUGAAGGCCAAAGGCCUGAAGGAUGACCCGGGGCACCCCCUACCCCUGUAGCUUCUUACCUUGGCCACUCAGCAUUCUAGACUUUAAUACAGCAGAAUACCCUGACAGCUCCUGCCCUGACCUGCUGAGGCUGAUGGUGAGCCAGCAGUAGAUGUUGGGGCAGCAGUUGAUGGGACUGGGCCUUCUCACUCAGUCCCCCGACAGACUCAUAGUGGCCUUCCCCGCACAGACACGCUGGACGACAUCAUGGCAGGAGCGGUGAGCAGUAGAGUGUCUAUGUUGAACACUACAACCUCGCCCAUACCCACAGAACAGAUGCCCAUCAAUUCAGUGUCCCCACCCUCCAUGCUCCCCCUCUGGACAUCGAUGCACAUCUACAUCACCACAUCCUACUGGAUAAAGGUGAGGACAUCGAAGCCCAGUCUGAGAGAACAGUAUAAGAGAACCAAAAACACACCUCUCUCCCUGGUCUGCUCUCUAGGAAGACAAGAGGUCCUGCUCUUCACUAAAACACAUUCUUCCCUGAACAUCACAUUAAUUAAUUGUUAACUUUUUGAUAAAACACCGGGGUAUGGCCUUAGUGGAAAUGCCCCAAUAAUAACCUGUGGUCCAUUCCUUCCAGGUAGUAAAACUGUUGCUGCUGCGUGGGGCCAACAAUGAGCACUGUAACGUUUCAGAUUACACUCCUCUCAGCCUGGCCGCCUCAGGGGGCUACAUCAACUUCAUCAAGAUCCUCCUGAAUGCUGGCGCUGAAAUCAACUCCAGAUACGACAGUUUAUCAACCUCUGAAACACACAACCUUCCCUGACUAGGAAGUACACUGGGUAUCUCUCUUCUGAUGCUGGAUGCCAUGAACGGUCAUGUCCUUGUGGUCAAGCUGCUGCUGGACAUGGGCUCAGACAUCAACACUCACAUCGAGACCAACCGCAACACAGCACUGACCCUGGCCUGCCAACCUGACGCACCGCUCCAAGACAGGUCUGACUCCUCUCAUGGAGGCUACAUCAGGUGGCUAUGCUGAGGUGGGGCGGGUGCUGCUGGACAAGCACUAUAGUGUGUGUGACAUGACGUCUUAACAGACCAUCCAAAGUGGUGAACUAGACUUUUACCUCUUUGACACAUAUUACAUCAGCACCCGUCAUGAAUCUCAUUAUCCUCAUUAUAGUCCAACCUCAUCCAACCCUCUGUUAUAUUGCUGGAAAUACCGGAAAUUCUGAAUCUCUGCUUAGUUUUGUGGGGAUGCCUGCAGUAACUUCAAAACCUUUCUAGUCGCCGGCUUUUGUUCUGCAUAAAUAUUCUCAAUAUCCUCUUUCCUCUGGAGUGUUUGUGACAGCACUUCUCUCGCAGCAUCCAACACAUGAUCAUAUUAUUGUGGCGUGAACUCCAAUGUCUGGAGGUUUUGUGGCGUGACCUCGAUCUUCUGGAGGAGUUGUGGCGUGACCUCUGACGUCUGGAGGGGUUAUGGAGUGACCUUUGACAUCUGGAGGGGUUGUGGCGUGACCUUUGUCUUCUGGAUGGGUUGUGGCUUGACCUCUGUCUCCUGUAGGGGUUGUGGUGUGGCCAUUCAUAUCUGGAGGGGUGGUGGCAUGAACUCUGACGUCUGGAGGGGUUAUGGAGUGACUUCUGACAUCUGGAGGGGUUUGUGACGUGACUUCUGUCUUCUGCAGGGUAUGUGGCAUGACAUCUGUUGUCUGUAGGAGGAUCAAUUGUAAAAGCGAUCAGGUACUGGUCUAGGUUGUGUAGCUCAUUCUGUUGGCAAUGUUCAAAUACCAGUAUGUCAUCCAGCUGAUACGGAAGGGGUUCUCCAUGGUGUGGCGCAAACUGUAUCUCUGAUAAGUCUAAUAGGUCUGAGCGAUAGCUAACAAUCCUUUUAGUUUUGGUUAAAGUGACAGCAACUGUUUCUGUAACUCGUUCGGCAUCACGAACAACUUCCUGUUUCAGCUUCUUGGCGAUGAGGUCAAACCUCAACACCCCAAAUUUUUUGUACCGCUUACAGUUCUUCCAUCUUCAAGAACACUUUCUUGAAAGUCAAAGAUGUCAUGAGAGAAAUCUUCCCAUGGUCCUUUCUUAGAUUUGUCUGAAAAGUUUUUAGAACAUCAAUGCUCUGGGCCUAAUGAAUUUAUUUCAAUUGACAGAUUUUCUUAAAUGAACUGUAACUCCGUUAAAACAUUGAAAUUGUU